UAGCUCAGUCAGCUGAGCAUAGCGCUAACAAUGCUAAGGUUGCGGGUUCGAUUCCCGU
rnacentral:tRNA from 1 species